rnacentral:pre_miRNA from 1 species
AAUGCAAUUGCUGAGUCAUGUGGUAAGCAUAUAUUUAACUUUAUGAGAAACUGCCAAAUAGUUUUCCAGAGUGACUAUGCCAUUUUGCAUUCCCACCAGCAAU